rnacentral:rRNA from 1 species
GACGAACGCUGGCGGCGUGCUUAACACAUGCAAGUCGAACGGAAAGGCCCCCUUGUGGGGUACUCGAGUGGCGAACGGGUGAGUAACACGUGAGUAACCUACCCUUGACUUUGGGAUAACUUCAGGAAACUGGGGCUAAUACCGGAUAGGAGCUCCUGCUGCAUGGUGGGGGUUGGAAAGUUUCGGCGGUUGGGGAUGGACUCGCGGCUUAUCAGCUUGUUGGUGGGGUAGUGGCUCACCAAGGCUUUGACGGGUAGCCGGCCUGAGAGGGUGACCGGCCACAUUGGGACUGAGAUACGGCCCAGACUCCUACGGGAGGCAGCAGUGGGGAAUAUUGCACAAUGGGCGGAAGCCUGAUGCAGCAACGCCGCGUGCGGGAUGACGGCCUUCGGGUUGUAAACCGCUUUCGCCUGUGACGAGGCGUGAGUGACGGUAAUGGGUAAAGAAGCACCGGCUAACUACGUG